rfam:Orchesella cincta Ocin01_Sc0204, whole genome shotgun sequence.
CCAACGGCCUUUCUAAAGGCCACCAAGUAUUUCAAAGAGCUUACAU